UAUUUAGUAGAAACGGGGUUUCACCAUGUUAGUCAGGCUGGUCGGGAACUCCUGACCUCAGGAGAUCUACCCGCCUUGGCCUCCCAAAGUGCUGGGAUUACAGGCGUGUGCCACUGUGCCCAGCCACUUUUUUUUAGACAGAGUCUUGGUCUGUUGCCCAGGCUAGAGUUCAGUGGCGCCAUCUCAGCUCACUGCAACCUCCGCCUCCCAGAUUCAAGCGAUUCUCCUGCCUCGACCUCCCAGUAGCUGGGAUUACAGGUUUCCAGCAAAUCCCUCUGAGCCGCCCCCGGGGGCUCGCCUCAGGAGCAAGGAAGCAAGGGGUGGGAGGAGGAGGUCUAAGUCCCAGGCCCAAUUAAGAGAUCAGAUGGUGUAGGAUUUGGGAGCUUUUAAGGUGAAGAGGCCCGGGCUGAUCCCACUGGCCGGUAUAAAGCACCGUGACCCUCAGGUGACGCACCAGGGCCGGCUGCCGUCGGGGACAGGGCUUUCCAUAGCCAUGGCCCAGCAGUGGAGCCUCCAAAGGCUCGCAGGCCGCCAUCCGCAGGACAGCUAUGAGGACAGCACCCAGUCCAGCAUCUUCACCUACACCAACAGCAACUCCACCAGAGGUG
rnacentral:lncRNA from 1 species